rnacentral:ncRNA from 19 species
AAAGUCUCUGGUAACUGGCGGAGUAGUGGAAAUCACCACAUGGGAAUCAGAGAUUUGCAGAGCCGACCGUCUGGGCAGUAUUU